UGAUCAUAGUUGACAGCUGCCAAAUAGAGUACUAUUUUGCUUUGACGAAUUAUAUAUAGACCGGAAAUUACGAACAAAAUUACAUAAAAAUUGUGUACCCGACAUGAAAAACGAAAUAUUUGAUAGUGUGAGAAUUGGUGGGCAAAUUAGCGCGAAGAAUUCGAAAUUUUUUGCUACACAAAUCUUUUGAAUAAAAAAAAAAUUUGGUACGAUUACCUUGGGGAUGAAGUUGGAAACUUUCAGAG